CUGGGUACACUCAGUCUCUCCUGAAGUCUUUUGGUUUCCAAUCUGACAGGAUACCUCUCGCUGCUGCGUUCCUCUCCCACACGUUAAUGUGCACUGCACAGGUAGAUAAUGAAGUUUACCUACCAACACAGUGCGCAAUGUAAAGUCACGCUGUACUAAACUACUGCACCUUUAACUGAACAUAAAGCGGCCAAACUGGGGCACCUGGAUUAAUAUUAUGUUUAAACUGCAGUCCAGGAAUUUCUGCCCCCAAUCAGCCCCUCUCCCAGCUAUGGCUCUGGAGAUGCAGGUUUGCUUCCAGAAGGUUCUGCCUUUCUUUGUUUUUCUCUGCUGCCAAAUGCUGGUAAAUGUUGUUCACAUUUUAGGUAACCUUCAACCUUCAACAUGAGGAUUGAACGAUUACAUCACUAUUCUGUAGCGCUGCAACGUCUCUUAAAAAUUCUCAGUUUUCAAUUUACAGAGAACAAAACCAUAGCAAUAGUAAAGAGUAAAAUAUCAAUUUACUAGUUGACCAGUUCUCAGACACAUACCAGUUAUUACAGCCUUAUUGUUUAGCAGAUGUGUUCCAGAUACCCCCGACCCAACUUCUAACAAACAUGUGUUAAUAUCCAUAAAUGCAACCUUAUAGAAAAAUGUAAUAUUCUCCAAAUAUGUCUUUUUACAAAACUUUGAGAGAACGGUGCCAGACUGGCAGCAAGUUUUGUUGUAAUUUGAAAUGAUGACGAUGAAGAUGAAGAUGAUGACAAUGAUCUCAGGGUCUAUCUUUAUGAUCAAAGGGUCUAUCUUUAUGAUCAAAAUAGCAACAGUUCAAAAUACUUUGGCACUAAAACUUGCAAGCUAUAUGACUGUAACAUGAAACAGUAAGUACAAAUACAGAAAAUAAGUACAUAUGCAGAAAGUAAGUAGACAUACAGAAAUGAAGUACAACUAAAGAUGCACUCGUGACUCGAACUGACCAAAAAUAAACACGUUAUCAAUAUGUAAAAGAGAAAAGCCAGUUAAAGGGCUGUGCAAUCUUUAAUGAUUAGUUGUGGAACAAGAUCCAACAUUUGAUCAAUACCAGGCAUCUUACCUGUCCCCAGUUUCCCGUUUUCCAUUUCGGACACCUUCCCCCUCUGCAUUUUCUUCUCACGUUCGGUUUGGGAAGAUGUUUACAACUCUCAUCUUCCACUCGUUUGCCUUCUUUGGUCAUGCAGGAAACAGUGCGGUGUUUGUGUCCUUUCCCACAAGAAACUGAACACUGCAACAUAAAGAUGGAAAAAAACACUAGCAAACUAUUUCCGUAGCAUGUCAAAACUGAUUCUAUUAUUUCUUUUAAACUUGUAUUUUUAUUUUGUAUUAGUAAACAGGACCAUAAACAUUUAUCACCAGCAUAUAUUCAGCAUCGCCAUCUAUCUUAUCCCAUAUACUGUACACAUACAUAUUCUACCCAAGCAUUUGGCAUGUGUUUUAUAAAGACCUGCCCACGGGCUAGACGGGUUAACAAGUUUGCAUUCAAAGCAGCAGAACCACCAGGAAUCAAAGCCAAGUCCAAAUCAGCAGGUAUGGUAAUUGAAAGCUUUGUUGUAAAGCAACUAACUGCAACCCUUUUCUCAGCAGGGUCACCGAACUUCCAAAAUUGUAACUCCUUCUGACAUGCAGACACGACAACCCCACUUUGGUUUCAGAUUUUCAAGUCUUCAGUCAGAUCUGGGAAUCAAAGCCUGACUGCAUUGGUGACAUGGACUGAACAUGACAGAAUCUUGUUGAACAAGCAUGUUACCCAGCGUGAUGCCCUCAAUGAUUACUUUGCAUUUUCUUAUUUAAAUGUCACAUAAGUCAUUAAAUGGUAUAUUGGAAUGGAACAGACUGAAACCUUUCACCCUUAGCUCUCCUUACUCUAUAGGGUCAUUUUCUGCGGUUUGAGGACUGCAAAGGUUUUAUGUUUUAACGAGCAAGAAGAGAAGUAUCUAGUCACACGGAAACUUCAUGGUUAUCUUAAGAACAUAAGAACAUAAGAACGUUUACAAACAAGAGGGGGCCAUUUGGCCCAUCUUGCUCGUUUGGUUGUUAGUAGCUUAUUGAUCCCAGAAUCUCAUCAAGCAGCUUCUUGAAGGAUCCCUGGGUGUCAGCUGCAGACUAAAGGCAUAAAAUGACUUUGAAAUGUUUCUUUGUUCAUGUCUUUACGUUACAUUUUAUUUAAAAAUAAGGACACAGUAAAUUAAGAAAAGCUAACAUUCAAUGUUUCAUAUGUUUUUCUUUUUUGUAUUACUCAUCUUUGCAUACAACAUGUAAACACUGGACCAAUACAGACAUAAAAGGGGUAAGUGUUUACAUAUUCAAACUCCAUGCACAUUCUCAUCUCAAAGCCCAUGCUGCAGCCCUCCGCCAAUUAUGACUCCAUAGCGAAACUAUAUUCAAAGGUUUCUUGCUAGAGAUGAAACCAAAUCAACUCAACAUAGUGUGAAAAGGUUGUUGGUAAAUUCUCUUUUUAAAAACAGUCAAGAUUAUUGCCUACCGAUAAACAACCCAAGCUUCAUGCAGGAGUCGAAUGCUGGAAAAAACCAUAUUCUCAGGAGAUGAUUUUUUUUUUCUUUUAAGUGCAGCCCUCUAUCUAGUUCAAACAUCCCAGCAGCCUUUGAAUACAGCCAUUUCACACAGAUGUGUGCCACAUGCAGGAACAAACAGUAUGAAAGGGCACUUCAGCCGUUGGUAGUGAUUUAUGUAGAAAAAGACAUUACAGAGAGGUUGACCUGAAUAAUCUUCUGUUUCUAAAGAUGCAGCUGUAUGAACUACUCUCUUAUGGGAACUGAGCCACGGAACACUGAGUUCUUUUCAGAUCUACUAUAAAAUGUUCUUGAACAAGUAUGCAAAGUGCUCCUCAGAGGCCUUCAGAAGCACUAACCAGCUGGAAGAUCCAAUAUGUGUUACCUCAUCCAUAGUGAAUGAACACACAGUCCUGCAUCAUCCAAUUGACCCAGAAUAUUUUGUUAUCAAUGACUAUGAUAUCACACAUGUUUAAAAACGAAAAGACAAAUGCCAACACGCCCAGUAACCAAGAAUGUGCAGAAAGAUGCUGCUGACCUUUGGGUACAGGGGAAGCCAAUGUUACUUGAGAAAUCUAUGAAUGGUCAAGCGACUCUCACCAAGACUGAAAUGGCAUGACGGGUCUACAGUUCUUAUGAAAAGCCCGCCCUGCCUUCCAACAAGCUCACGUUUGGACAAUCAGAAAAUAACCUGCUGUUCGUGGAUAGUCUCAAGACUAUGUGUUUUGGAUGCAAAUGAAACCAUACUACAAUAUACAGUAAAAUAGUCACAGUUUGCCUACCAUACCACAAGGGUUGACAGCAGUUAUCUGAUUGAUACUUAACGUGUAUAAUUGCAAUAAAAGUGACCAAACUGAAAACUGAAUAAAAAAUACUGUGCCCAUUAUUGUUUUCUUUAGGCUGGCAAUAUUAAAGUAUAAACAAGCUCACGUACAAUUACUUGUAUGGAUAUCACUUUAGAUUACUGCUAUUGUUAGUUAAUUAGCUAGAGGUUACCAUACUAUAGAAUUGUUAAAACAAAAUGUUGUUGUUUUUUAUGGUUUUUUUUUA